CACGUAGGUGGCAAGCGUUGUCCGGAUUUAUUGGGCGUAAAGCGCGCGCAGGCGGUUCGUUAAGUUCGGUGUGAAAGCUCCCGGCUCAACUGGGAGAGGUCAUCGGAUACUGGCGGACUCGAGGGAGGUAGAGGAAGGUGGAAUUCCCGGUGUAGUGGUGAAAUGCGUAGAGAUCGGGAGGAACACCAGUGGCGAAGGCGGCCUUCUGGGCCUUUCCUGACGCUGAGGCGCGAAAGCGUGGGGAGCGAACCGG
rnacentral:rRNA from 1 species